rnacentral:rRNA from 1 species
AGUGAACGCUGGCGGUAGGCCUAACACAUGCAAGUCGAACGGCAGCGAAGUAAGAGCUUGCUCUUACGGGUGGCGAGAGGCGGAAGGGAGAGGAAAACAACGGGACCUACUUUUUCGUACGGGAGUACGUAGCGACACCUACGCUAAUAUAGCAUCAGAACUACGCGUGAAAGCAGGGGAUAAUCGGAAAUUGCGCGUGAGAAUGAGCCGAUGUCGGAUAAGCUAGUGGGCGGGGAACAGGCCCACAAAGGCUACGACCCGUAGCUGGUCUAAGAGGGUGAACAGGCACACUGGAACUGAGACACGGUCCAGACUCCUACGGGAGGCCGCAGUGGAGAAUAUUGGACGAUGGAGGAAAGCCUGAUCCAGCCAUACCGCGUGAGUGAAGAAGGCCCUCGGCUGGGAAAGCCCUGUUGGUGGUAAAGAAAAGCAGCAGGUUUAUACCCCACUGUUCUGACGGUACCCAAAGAAGAAGCACCGGCUAACUUCGUG